UACGUAGGGUGCAAGCGUUAAUCGGAAUUACUGGGCGUAAAGCGUGCGCAGGCGGCUUUGCAAGACAGAUGUGAAAUCCCCGGGCUCAACCUGGGAACUGCAUUUGUGACUGCAUGGCUAGAGUACGGUAGAGGGGGAUGGAAUUCCGCGUGUAGCAGUGAAAUGCGUAGAUAUGCGGAGGAACACCGAUGGCGAAGGCAGCCCCCUGGGCUAACACUGACGCUCAGGCACGAAAGCGUGGGGAGCAACAGG
rnacentral:rRNA from 1 species